rnacentral:rRNA from 1 species
UACGUAGGGGGCAAGCGUUGUCCGGAAUCAUUGGGCGUAAAGCGCGUGUAGGCGGCCCGGUAAGUCCGCUGUGAAAGUCGGGGGCUCAACCCUCGAAUGCCGGUGGAUACUGUCGGGCUAGAGUGCGGGAGAGGCGAGUGAAAUUCCUGGUGUAGCGGUGAAAUGCGCAGAUAUCAGGAGGAACACCAAUUGCGAAGGCAGCUCGCUGGAACGUAACUGACGCUGAGACGCGAAAGCGUGGGGAGCAAACAGG